rnacentral:ncRNA from 1 species
CCACCAUCCAGAGCGGCUGAGAGAUCUGGCUCGUCGACGCCGCAGCAACCCGCCCGUCAGGGGCCAGGGUGCUACCGCCAGGACCGAUGGAGC